AGAGUUUGAUCCUGGCUCAGAAUCAACGCUGGCGGCGUGCCUAACACAUGCAAGUCGAACGCGAAAGGGGCUUCGGUCCUGAGUAGAGUGGCGAACGGGUGAGUAACACGUGGGUGACCUACCUUUGAGUGGGGGAUAACGUCCCGAAAGGGACGCUAAUACCGCAUAACAUCCUGUCCUUGAACGGAUGGAGAUCAAAGCCGGGGAUCGUAAGACCUGGCGCUUGAUGAGGGGCCCGCGUCUGAUUAGCUAGUUGGUGAGGUAACGGCCCACCAAGGCGACGAUCAGUAUCCGGCCUGAGAGGGCGGACGGACACACUGGGACUGAGACACGGCCCAGACUCCUACGGGAGGCAGCAGUGGGGAAUUGUUCACAAUGGGCGCAAGCCUGAUGACGCAACGCCGCGUGGAGGAUGAAGGUCUUCGGAUUGUAAACUCCUGUUGCUCGGGACGAAAAGCCUCGACCUAACACGUCGAGGUCUGACGGUACCGAGUGAGGAAGCCCCGGCUAACUCUGUGCCAGCCGCCGCGGUAAUUC
rnacentral:rRNA from 1 species